AAAACGUUUCUCAAACUGAAACGGUGGUGCGUUGUACACCCUGUUCUGAUGAUGCAAGAUUUGCAACUAUGGCAGCUGAGAAGGCCAUUGUUUGUGUUCUUUUUGAAGAAUUUUCAGUUCGAGUGAAGGGAUUUGUGGAGACUGUGGUUCCUAAUUAUUGUGAUCCAACAUUUGCCUCGCAUUUCAGGAGGAAAAGACAAACAUUUCAGGUGAUAGAUAAUCCACUCCUUACCUACACUGUAACAAAUUGCUGUAAAAAUCUUUUUGUCUGGCCUGUUCGCAGCAUAUAUUCACUCUGGAGUAAACUUACCAGGAGGAGACAGACGGUGAUUUAGAGUUCAUUCAAAGGUAUUUACAAGGAACAAAGACGUUGAAAGGAAAUGUUCCAUCUAAAACCACAGGGCAAAUGGCACAGAAGAAACCAGCUGAAGUGAACCCAAGAUGCUACUCUUCUUUGCAAAGUGAAGGAUUUUCAGCAGAAUUUCUGAAAUCCACUCUUUGCAUCCUGGGAUGGGACAGCGUCUGGAGCCAAACUGUUCUUCUUUUUUGAUCAGAGGUUUUGUUGAAAUCACUUGGGACCUUGUUGUUUUGCCAUGCUGUGAAAAUUCAUCACUGUCAUUGUGGUAUUUGGAACAAUUUAAUUUUGACCAUGUUGGUUAACUUGAUGUUAGUAAAACUUUGGCUCAAUGUUGGUAAAACUUAAAGUUAAGGGUAAUAUAUGUUUCAAGUAAAUAUUUAUUUUGGAAUUCAAAAUAAUACUUAAUGCACUGCUCUAUGACAUUUCUUUCAUGCAAAUUUGAGAGUCAUAUGUUAAAUAAAAUUUGAUCUGUUUUUCAAGAUUAA